ACCAUGUCACUAUUUUCUGGGGAUAUGUAUGAGAAAAGACAAGAUAGCUCUCAAUGAAUGAAGUUGUAAUCAACAUUGUCGAGUUGAAGAUUUCUUAAAACCUUGGGCUGGAAUCUACCUGUUACCGAAGACAAAAAAUCAAGUUUUGCGGAGCAGCUGAAUGGAGUUAUAGUGUUGUUCAGGACAAAAUCCAAGAACUACAUGCAUGGAGAGACUUGUAACCAAUGUUAGUAUCACUCACAGUCCCUUUAUUUUUCAGCUUGUGUCCAUUAUUUAAUGUUAUGUUUAAAAAUAAGGUAUAUCUUAUCUUCCAAGAAUUUGAAACACGGAGUGGAAAAGCAGAGGGGGAGAGAGAGAGGAGGUUAUCCAAAUCGGUCUUCAACUCAACUUUAGCUUAAGAUUAUGACCAUAUGAAUAUGACAUAAACAUCAUUCCAUCUAGUUGUUUGUCAAAUCAAAUACCCCAAUUAAGUCAUUAUAAUGUUUUUACUUCUUAGAAAUUCAUUUUGCACCAAACUACUACCAUCACUUUCUUUGAGCACCCUAUGUGUACUAGCGAUGGCAACAUUUUUGAUAUAUUAUGAUUAUCUUUCUAUUUAAAUUUUAUUAUGGGUUCGUAGCAUUUCACCGACAUAUUAUUUUGAAUUUGAUUGGAAUUUGAUUUGGGAGGUCCACACUACCCCAGAAUGUAAAUUUCUCAACAUUUUCAUGAUAGUAAUUUCCAUCUUUGAUUUUUGUAGGAAUGUAAUACUCGUAAGAGAAAGCAAGUUGAAAAACCAGAUGCUCCAAGGUUAUCCACUUCCAGGUUUAAAGUUCCCAAAUUGAAGAGUGCCUCUCCACGUACCACAUACUAAAAUGAAAAAAUGAAAAGAAAUGAAAAAAGAAAAAAAGUAAAAAAGAAAAGAGAGGAAAAAAAAGGAAAAAAAAAAGAAAAAGAAAAGAAAAAAUGGAAUAAGAGAAGAAAAAAACAAACUAUGCUACUUAAAGAAAAGAAAAAAUGGAAUAAGAGAAGAAAAAAACAAACUAUGUAAUUGUAGUAGCAGGCCAGGAGUAUUGAUCAUGUGUAUGACAACUAUUGGAACGCUGCAAGCACGUCCACCAAAGUAAGUAGUGUUGCUUUAAUUCCUAAUCUUUCAUGUGUAUUAUAGGCAAUGAACCAUUUACUAGGGAUGAUUUGAUAACAAUUCAAGUAUGCAAUAGUGUCCAUUCAUUGUGUUCUGUUUGCUGAAAGUUGAUACUAAAAAUUUCAAUGACCUUUUUGUCUUGAGAUGUGUAUUUUACGAGAUAUCUACAAUAUGUAAUCCAUCGAAUGGAAGGGCAACUGAAAAAUAUCCUGUCUUUGUGUCCAUUAGACGUUACCCUAUGCCAUUGUUUUGAAAUGCCCACCAACCCAUUUUGAUGGAGAGCUUGAAGUGUCAACAUUGCUCAUGGUAUAACUGUGAAAUUCAAGUAUCCAUGCACUGCCAUGGAAUGUUAACCCAUGAUCAGAAAAUGAGACUGAUCGAAAUGUAUAACUUUCAGGAUUUUAAUUUCAAAAUUUCAUGGAAAGGAAUAAAUUUAUCAGAUUGGUACUCUACUUGUAGAAAUUUUAAAUAUGAUGCAAACUAUCAAAAAUUUGAUUUUUGUGAGAUUGCUUUUGUGUUUGCAUGAUUUGUGAGAAAAGUAAUUUUAUGAUUUAUUUGAUUUAGCAGUAGACAUUGAAGUCGUGUAUGAAUAUCACGUCGAAAAUUGAAUGCACAUUAUAUAAUCGAGUGUGAUCAUUUCGAUAUUUGUCAAACUUGUCAGGUAAAAAGCACAAAUACUUCAGAUGCUGCCUCAUGGUCCUUCACUUCUACUUCUUAUGAUCGUGUCACUAAGUAUAAAUAUGAAUAUGUCAAAGGUGAAGAAACCCUUAGAAGAAAGGGUAUGUUUGGUUACACAAUACAUGGUGACUUGAACGUAGAACUGCAUUGUGACUUAGCUUCCAGGGAAUGUGAAAAUUUAUCACAUUAUGUGAGUGUGGCUACUGCAAUGGUUAUCUUUCCAUCAAAGUAUUAGGUAUGCAUCUUUGCCAUCUUUUUCAUUGUGUUCCUUGCUUUUGUUAAUGAUUUCUAAUCCCAAAAUCACCGGUGCUUUUUGGCCCUAUUAUUUAGUAAUUAUAUGGGUGGUGAUCCCACUGUUUUUUGGCCUUUUAAAGAUGAACUACACUCAAAAGUAGUUCAGUCGGGGAGGGGUGUUUUUAGUAUUGCAAACAGUAGUCCUCACACAAAUGUUUCCCAAUUCUUCAUCCUAUAAAUGUCUGCGAAUCAUCUGAACUUCAAUCAUACUGUUUUUGGUGGAGUUGUAGGGUUCUUGACUACCCUAGAAGUAAUGAUAGAGGGGAAAAUCCAAACAGUAGAUACUAAUUAAAUCAUAUCCGUUUCGUCAUUUAUUGCAUUUCAGCUCUCAACUUCCCGCUGUAUAACUAAAGCAUGCCAUUAUUUUUCUUGAAAUUUUUUAUUGAAUACAGAUUAUAAAUUUCAAGCUUUGAAUCUACCUCACAACAAAUCAAGAUUGGCACUAACCAGCAAUGCUGUACCAAGAUGUGUUCUUCUACUAGUAAAGAAGAUCAAAAGGUUUGUAUUGAACCCCACUAUCCGGAGAUGCUAAUAAAAUAAGUAGCCUAUUUAUUAAAUUAUUUUAGUCAUUUCAUAAGGGGAUAGUAUUAUCUGACUUUGUUGUUUUGUUAGUGAUAUUUUUUUCCGUGAAAAGAGUAUUUCCAAAUUCGAAUGACUAAUGUAUUUGUGUCCUGAUUGGUAAUAUGUUAUUGCAGUGGUAAAAAUGCUUGGCAAACAAAUGUGGCUUAUGACGCAUGCAUUAGCUUGGUUCUGCAUGCAGGGGGCAAGAGGCUGCACAAAAAUCUCUGAAUUUUGUACGAUGAGUGCUUGGUUGUUUGGAGUGCCUUUAGGUAUGUUACCAACCUUAGAAAUUAGAAUAUUGUUAUUUAAAAUGACUAGGAAAGUAUACCUCUUGUUACAAACCCUAACAUUUCAUCUUAUAUAUAUAUAUAUCAUCACUAGGCACACAGUUCGAUUUGGAAUUUUUCAAAAACUUAAUGCGAUUUUCUUCUUCUUCGACAUUGAGAUUAUCUUUAAGUUCCAAAGUAUGACGUUUUAUUUAUUUAUUUGGUGCAGCUAUUAUUAGGUGGUGGUGGUGGUACUGGUCCAAAUCCAAUACACAAUUCAUCCAUUUGCAUAAUCUCUAUUGUUAUGAGUUUCUCUUCUCCAAGAUUACCUUUUCAAAUUCGUAAAACCCAUAACUUCCCAGGUACUACUACUAGGAAGCUCAGAGGGCUUUGCUAAUUUUUUGUAUUAUUUUAGGAUUUAACCGCUAUAUCUGUAACUUCAAAUUUUCUACUCUUUCCAAAGUUAUGCAUUCUACUGUAUAUUGCUUGAAUGCUUAAUUUUUCAUUUAUCUUCUUAUGUCCCUGUUCCUUUCACCUUGAAAUUGUUUUUACCAUGCAUUCAUGCUUUAAAACUCUAGCACAUAUAUGCUCUAAGCCUCUAACACUGUCCUACAUUUAUCGCUUUUACCAUGCAGGGAAUAUCACAAAACCCUAUGCCGCCACAUGUGAUAUAUUUCCAGGUACAGAAAAUUUUGUUUCCGUUAUAUCCUAUGUAAAUCUCCCCCCCCCCCCCCCCCCCCCCAAAAAAAACACACACACACAUGCAGCUUCUCCAUAGGGAUCAAGCAAUUGUCCAGACUUGAGUUAUGAUUUUCUAUAUUUUCCCAUUAAUAUUUUCAUUUUUUUUUCUUGUAGAUUUGGAAGACAGAGGCACAACCACUACUAUGUAAUUUGUCUCAGUUUCUUUUAUUACUAUGGAAGGUGGAGUGAUAAAGGUAAUGACAAACAUCUUUUUUGUCUCCCAAUAGUUCCCUAUUUAUACCACUUAAAGAACAUUAAGAAAAUAAUAUAUGUUUGGAGUUUCUUAUCCACAAUGUUGCCUCACUAGACCUUAUGAGUAGUCUUGGUAGAAGCAUCUAUGAUCAUAUAAUCCUCUAAUUUUGAGCAGAUUUCUCACUCCUGAUCAUGACAAACAGAUGAAGAUAAAUGUAUCUGGAGCUAAAUCAGAAGCUAUUUUGGAAGGAAAAGUUGCCACUAUUAUGUGUUCUUACAAGUUACAAUCUAGUUAAUUGAAUUCCUACCUGUGCUGACCCUAAUCUUCUACGUAAUACAUCAGAGGGUACUGGAGGCUUAAUGGGUGAGUUUCAUAUUCCGAUUAUGUUGACCAAAGUCAACAAUCAACACCAAUAAAAAUUUGAUUACAUCCAUGGGACUAAAUAAAAUAUGACAUAUUUUUCAUAUGUGUGGAACAGGUACAUUGUUUCCGAUUGCAAUUCAGUAGUUGUUUUCUACGAUAACAACCACUGCACCGCUAUUGAAGGAAGCAGCUGCAGAUGCCAUUAAAGUCGGUUAGUAAAUGCCUAUAUAGAUUAGUGUCGUCAUUUUUGUGUGUUUGGCUAAGUAGAACUUUUAUUUUAUUGAUAUAGUAACAUGAACCUCAAUUUGAUUGUUGUUAUUGUAUUUCUAUUAUUUCAGGUUAGAUUUGGACUGUGGCCUAUUUCUUGCAGUGCACACUGAGCUGGCCAUAGAAAGAAGGUUAUUGAGGAGGUGGAUGUAAACAAUGCACUUGUUAAUACAAUGACAGUCCAAAUGAGGCUGGGUAGGUUUGAUGAUGAGCCAUCUAAGCAGCCAUACGGACGCUUAGGUCCACCAGAUGUGUGUUUCUCGACUAACAACCAACUAGCUCUUGAGGCUGCUCUACAAUGGAUAAUCUUGUUGUGUGAUUCCUUGAGUUUAUCAAUAAAGUUUCUGUUAAGAAGAAAAAAAAAGGAAAAUAAAAAAAUAGAAAAAAAAAAAAAACAAAGGAGAAAAAAGAAAAAAUAAAAGGAAAAAAGAAAAUGAUAGAAAAAGGAAAACAAAAGUGAAAAAGAAAAAAUAGUAAUUAUAGUAGCAGGCCAGGAAAAUCAUUCAUUUGUAUGACAGUCAACGGAAUGCUGCGAGCACGUCCACCGAAGUAAGUGGUGUUUCUUUUACUCCUGAUAUAUUAAGCACCCCAAAUUGUUGAUUGACAACUGGUGUUCGCAAUAUGCUUUAGCUUUGGAAAGAGUAAGAAUAUGAUUUUUUUGCAUAUUAUUAUUGAUAAGGAUAUAUUUAGGAUGAUGGCAUUUUCCUUGGUUAUCAUCCUAAACAGCUGUACUAACGUGGCACACACAUACACAUGCACACACAAGGGGAACAUCUUGGAGUUUUUGUGUUUUCUUAUCUUCACAAGUAACGACAACCUUUGCAGGUACUGUCUUCUGGAAAUCAUACCAUGUCACUAUUUUCUGGGGAUAUGUAUGAGAAAAGACAAGAUAGCUCUCAAUGAGUAUGAAGUUGUAAUCAACAUUGUCGAGCUGAAGAUUUCUUAAAACCUUGGGCUGGAAUCUACCUGUUACGGAAGACAAAAAAUCAAGUUUUGUCUGGGGAGAUGCUGGCUUGACAUUUUGGAGUCCAAAUGUGAACAUAUUUAGAGACCCAAGGUGGGGUCAUGGACAAGAAACUCCUGUUGAAGACCCAGUUUUAGCCGGUAAGUAUGCCGCUAGCUAUGUGAGAGGACUCCAACUCUCCAAGGUUACGGAGGUAACCCAUUGAAGGUAGCAGCAUGUUGUAAACAUUACACAGCAGACGAGCUUGAUAACUGGAAUGGCGUUGAUGCUUCCACUUUGAUGCCAAGGUAAAUAUUACAGCAACCUGUUGGGUCUUGGUUUGAAUUUUGUUUAGUAAUAAAGCCCAUGAUUUGAGCAUGUUUGGGGUUUUCACAUUUGCAGUUUAGCAAACAAGACGUUGAGGAUAC
rnacentral:lncRNA from 1 species